GACAGAGGCCUCGAGCGUUAGGCGGAAUCACUGGGCUUAAAGCGUGUGUAGGCGGGCCCGUAAGUGUCUUGUGAAAUCCCACGGCUCAACCGUGGAACUGCUGGGCAUACUGCGGGUCUUGGGCCAACUAGGGGCAGCCGGAACAAGCGGUGGAGCGGUGAAAUGCUUAGAUAUCGGGAGGAACACCAGUGGCGAAGGCGGUGCUCUGGGCCGGAACUGACGCUGAGGAGCGAAAGCGUGGGUAGCAAACAGG
rnacentral:rRNA from 1 species